CCACCCUGAAUGUGCCCGAUCUCCAUCUGACCUUAGAAGCUAAUCAAGGUUGGGCCUAGUUAGUACUGGAUGGGAGACCACUAAAAUGUAAAA
rnacentral:rRNA from 1 species